rnacentral:lncRNA from 1 species
GGUCUUCUCUUGCUGAGUGACUUGAAGACAGGCUUGUACAUUUUUAACAGCUUCCUCAUUGGCUGAUGAACUCAUCUGGUGUUCCUAAGACCAACACCUUCAGUCCCAUUUCACAAAGUCCAAAUCACAAAGGAGGAAACUAUUUAUUUGAUGAAUGCUGUAUUGAAGGAUAAGCCCGUAAUCAAAUGCUCCAUACCAUCUGUUUGAGAGUUUUUUGAGACUGGGAUCACUGUCUGGAACCACAGGCCGCCCUCUGAAGGCUGGAGAGGUGGUGACAGCUGAACAAAUGAUGGCGCUACGAGUCCAUGGGUUAGGUUACCUGGGCAUGGGAAUCCCCAUAUAGCCAAUGCCUUCUCGGGUAUUAAGUGUCAGAUAAACACAGCUCCUCAACUGC